GGAUAGGAUCGUGGUCGAUUAUGGUAGUUGGUGAGAUAACGGCUCACCAAGCCGAUAAUCGAUAGGGGCCGUGAGAGCGGGAGCCCCAAGAUGGGUACUGAGACAGCGACCCAGGCCUUACGAGGCGCAGCAGGCGCGAGACCUCCGCAAUACACGAAAGUGUGACGGGGUUACCCAAAGUGUUCUCUUAAGAACUGUGGCAGGUGAGUAAUGUCCCCUGCUAGAAAGGAGAGGGCAAGGCUGGUGCCAGCCGCCGCGGUAAAACCAGCUCUUCAAGUGGUCGGGAUAAUUAUUGGGCUUAAAGUGUCCGUAGCCGGUUUAGUAAGUUCCUGGUAAAAUCGGGUAGCUUAACUAUCUGCAUGCUAGGAAUACUGCUAUACUAGAGGGCGGGAGAGGUCUGAGGUACUACAGGGGUAGGGGUGAAAUCUUAUAAUCCUUGUAGGACCACCAGUGGCGAAGGCGUCAGACUGGAACGCGCCUGACGGUGAGGGACGAAAGCCAGGGGAGCGAACCGGAUUAGAUACCCGGGUAGUCCUGGCCGUAAACGAUGCAUACUAGGUGAUGGUACGGCCAUGAGCCGUAUCAGUGCCGUAGGGAAACCGUUAAGUGUGCCGCCUGGGAAGUACGGUCGCAAGGCUAAAACUUAAAGGAAUUGGCGGGGGAGCACCACAAGGGGUGAAGCCUGCGGUUCAAUUGGACUCAACGCCGGGAAACUUACCAGGGGAGACAGCAGAAUGAGGGUCAGGUUGACGACCUUACCUGAUGAGCUGAGAGGAGGUGCAUGGCCGUCGCCAGUUCGUGCUGUGAGGUAUCCUGUUAAGUCAGGCAACGAACGAGAUCCGCACCUUUAUUUGCCAACAAGAAGUUACGACUUCGUUGGGAACACUAAAGGGACCGCCGUCGAUAAGACGGAGGAAGGAGCGGGCAAAGGCAGGUCAGUAUGCCCCGAAACCCCUGGGCCACACGCGGGCUGCAAUGGUAUGAACAAUGGGCUGUAACUCCGAAAGGAGAAACCAAUCCCGAAAUCAUAUCACAGUGGGGAUUGUUGGCUGUAACCCGCCGACAUGAACGUGGAAUCCCUAGUAAUCGCGUGUCAUCAUCGCACGGUGAAUACGUCUCUGCUCCUUGCACACACCGCCCGUCGCUCCAUCCGAGUGUACUAAAAAUGAGGUUUGGUCAGACUGGUCAUAUCGAGUUUCUAGUAUGCGAGGAGGGAGAAGUCUUAACAAGGUA
rnacentral:rRNA from 1 species